UUUUGUGGAGGCAAUUGGGAGAAAAGCAGAGUUGGGCGCAUCAUCUUUUUUCUUCCAUCUUCCUACCGAAGAGUUGGAGAAAGACGACGUUGCUCGAUCAAGAUUUCACUGCGAUCCAUUACGAACCAUGAAUCACUUGUCAAUCUUGCUUGGUUCCGUCGACUCGAUUUCUUGUUCAAGAUCCGGCGCCGAUUGGGUUGGAGCCGAAUCGAACUACCCGAGCGAUGAUUGACGAGUCCUUCAUGGGUCGUGCGUUCUUCAAGAUUAAAAAUCGAUUCUUUUCUUGGCCUCGGCCUCGGAUUGCGGGUAAAAUUCGACUUCCAUCUUCCUCGUUCUGGAACUUGGGCAAGUUCCAUUUGCGUGGAGUGAGGAUUCUGGGGUCCCUGCUUUUCUAGGAGGGUUUCCGUUUCGUGAUCUGAAUUGGGUCUGACUUGCACAUUGCUAUGUAUUCCGAAAAUCUAAACAAGAUUGCAAAUUUAACCUGGAAGCGGACGAAACUUGAGGUGGGUGACAGCCAUGAAUGAUCCUUUGGUUCCUAUGCAGCAAUUCCGGUAGAUUCAACCGUUGCUGGGUAGUUCUCGAUCACUGAAAUUUUUCUCCUUUUCAAAAUGGUUUUCAACUUUUUUCGCGCCUUAAUGUUUGGAAAUUACAAUAUCGAGCACGACCCCGGUGUAGGUUGUGAUUGUCUCUUCUCUCCCCGCUCCGCGUUCCCUCUCCGUCUUACAUUUUUGGGAGGCAGUUGACCCGGUUCUUGUUGCUUUGCUCCUGGGAAAUUGACAUGCUAUGAAGUGUUUACCAUCAGAGAUUUAUGCUUGCCCCUCUGAUGAAUCUGCAGGUGCAUUGCCUUGUCUAUGUUGCGUAAAGUGAAUGUUGAAAUGAGGGGGAGAAAAGAUUGGAUGGGUGAUGUGUUAAUUGACCAUGAUGUCGAUUAAGGCAUUUUUCUACAUUUUGAUGCAGUUGCAAAUCAUUUAAUUGGAAAAGAUGCAACUUCAAGAUAGGAAGAAUCGAUUGGAAAAGAUGCAACUUCAAGAUAGGAAGAAUCGAUUGGAAAAGAUGCAACUUCAAGAUAGGAAGAAUCGCAACAGGUGCAAAACUUCAUAGCUUUAGCUCUUGUUUAAUGGUUUUUUCCCCUGAGUGCAGAAUUCGUUUGGAGAAAUGAUGGAAUUACUUGCUGCAACUGGCCAGCCUGCUUCAUUUACAUCAGAAGAUGGCUUGUUGGAAAAUCGUUAGCAUGACAAUUACUUUGGUAAUGAAUAUAUUUCAUCACUUAGCAGCACUUUUCUAAACACCCAAACCGUCGGAAGUUUGAACUGAAGCUAAUUGGUUUAAAUGAUGCUUACGUGUUGAUUUGUAGGAGUGAUGUGUCAAUGUCAUAUAUAUCUUAAUCCUGAAAAUAAGUGAGCUCCUAUUACGCAGUAAAAUAUUCAAAAGCAUAAAACUGAGCUUUGAUAACAAGCUCUUUUGAUUACUUCAGGCCUGCUAAAAUUUUAUUAGGAAUCCUAAUAGAUAAAUACUAUUGUUAGUGGAAGUUUGACAGGAAGUAAUGCAUGAGGGAGCUGAAGACCUUGCUUUUAGCUAUGGACCUUGAGGGAAUAAAUUUUGAGGGGGUAGCAUGAUAGUAGAGUUGGAAGAAGAUGUAAACUUUCCAAAGAAGUUUUCAAACUUGGAGAACAAGUCCGAAAUUUUUCAGUCGAGAACAGUUCUUUCCUCCAUUCUUUACCAUGUUAGUGGCAAUCCGUUAUGUCUUUACUAUAACUCUUUUGUUUGUAUGCAAAUGCUUUUCUGAUGGACUUUUAUUUUUUUUAUUUUUUAUUUUUUGGCUUAGCCAUGAACAUUUUAUUUGUUAAUAUGAGUAAAAAUAAGUGGGGAAAAAUUUAAGAUUUUUCUCUUCCCUCCUUCUGCCCUUUACCGCCUUAGUCCUUGUUGAUUUUGAGGGGACAUAAAAAAUCAUGAAGAAUCUCACAUUGGGAUUGCUUUGAAUGAUUGAACACAUGGCUUGGAAAAAUUGAAUAGUAGAAGUGUCUUAUGUAUAAUAUUUAAGUAUAUACUCAUUUUAAAUGGGAUUCUCUUGUGUAUUUGUAUGGGGUCUUUCUGUAGUCCUCCAAACAUCACUGAUUUUGCCUGCGAAGUUAUUACCUUGAUGAUGAAAGGUACUGACGCUUGUUAUUGCACAAAAUGAAUUGCGAAGGUUAUUGUCACGGAUUACUGUUUGUAUGAGACUGUAGACAUACCCAUUGGUAUGACUCAGAGGAAAAACCAGCUAGCCAUUGAUAUGCAGUCACAGGAUAUACAGAGGUUAAGAUGUGGGAUUCACUAAACGGUCAAACAACUUCCUAGCCAGGGUAAGAUCCAUGGCAUCUCUAUUGUAAAUAAGAAUGGAUAGAACUCUGGUAUGAAGCAAUUCGAAGCAAGUCAGUAUUGCUCUCUUCAAAUUUCCUUCUCUCUCACCUUUUAGUUAGUAGUUUUGUGCUUCUUCUUUUCUCUCUCUCUCUCUCUCUCUCUCUCUCUCUCUCUCUUUUGAGAUGGAAAGCAUAGAAACUUCAUUAGUUGAUCUGCCGGUGGGAUUCCGAUUCAGACCAACAGACGACAAACUAGUCAAUCAAUACUAGAAGACACUUGGCAACGAAACAGUUGAACAGAUAAUUCCUGAGGUUGAUGUCCAUCAAUUGCCACCUUGGGAUUUACCUGGCAAGAUAAAUGAACUAUCAAGGAUAAAGUCAGAUGGUGAUGAAUGGUUCCUCUUCAGCCGUCUGCAAAAUAAGUACCCUCAAAGUAAACGGGAGAAGGACAAAUGAUUAUGGCUCUUGGAAGCCAACGGGCAAACCUCACAAAAUCAGGACACAAGACAGAAAGAACACAUUAGAUCUGAAGAAAAUUUUGGUUUUCAAAAAAUGUCAAAGUCCCAAAAAGGCUCAAAUACCAAAUUGGUACUGCAUGAAUACAGUAUCCUCAAUGAUCAGGAACUUUCAUUUCAGAGCCCUUCUGAUUUUAUUUUCUUCUGUAACAUAAUUUUCUGGAGUAGGGACUGAGCAGCUUAUUUUUAGUUGCUCUGACUUUUGCUUCCAUUUUUUUCCCUGAAAUGAAGUAAGCUCUUAUUAAACUUCUAUUGAUUGGUUUUCAGCUAACACAAUUUUACCAAGUAAAAUAUCCUGACUUUUUCUUCUUUUGUUCUUCUUUUCCCUCCAAAUUUUGCUAAUGCUAUAGCUAUCAAUUGCACCAUUAACUGUAUUAUGAAGCUGAGCAAGGAUUCUCUUUUUAAAAGGAGUCUUAUAAGUUGAACAUGGAGUGUUACCAAAGUUGUUAUGUUGACUGAUAUUUGAUUCUUCGAGGUUGGUUUUAUUAUUCCUUUGGGAUAAAACCACGAAGUACUUUCAGAGAUCAGUGAGUAGGCUUGAUUAAAUUGUUAACUUGUCUUUUGUCUUUCUAUAUUAGAGUGACUUCGUUCUUUACCGCUUGAAGAAAAACCCUGAUGAGAAUGGUAAGAAAAAUUCAAAGACUCAGAAGACUGACACAGGUAUCUCUAUCGUGCCUCAAGAAGGCAGCAGAAGUAGCCCUAACUUGUCUGAUGAAGUCAACAACAUAAGUAUACCUAUUAUGCCUCAAGAAGGCAGCAGAAGGAGACCUAACACCCCUGAUGAAUCCAACAACACAAGCUGCUCCAACACAUUAGUAAUUGCCAAAAGCAUAAUACCUGAAGAGAUUCCAAAGGAAUCUUUAAAAGAAAACAUACAGCAACCACCGGCGCUAAUUCUCUCACCAGAAUGGAACUCAUCCCAAUGUGAUUCUGCAACUCCACAGCCACCCACAGCAACUGGGGAGCAAUUUUCUCCUGAUUCGGUAUAUCAGGAUUUGGAGUCUUAUUUUGCUGAUACUGAACUACUCCAAGAGAUAUUGGAAAUGUUGACCCCAUAAGCUGGUACUAGUAUAAACUCUUUUAUAGAAAGCAUUAUAUUAUAAGCUUUUUUUGGGGGGCUAGGUAGUUGGUGUGUACAUCCACUGGCCUGGAAGGACACUCUUCAAGUGCUGAUAUAAGUACGCCUGUGUUGGGCUGCAGAAAGAUAUUUUCCUUGUGGAAAACAAUGUACAUGGAUCAGGUGCAUUCAUUGAUGCACAUUGUUUGUUUAACUAGCUUUUGAUUCCAAGCUGCUUAAUAUGAGUAUUUCGUCAUAGCAGUAGGUGAAUUUUUAUUGUGAAAUUCGCCAGAAAUGUACAAACAGACAUUUGGAUUUGUCUUACCUACUUGUUUUGCACUCAAAUUUUGUUUGUAUAUAUGAGGCAUAUUGAUCUGGCAUC